rnacentral:rRNA from 1 species
GACGGAGGAUGCAAGCGUUAUCCGGAAUGAUUGGGCGUAAAGCGUCCGCAGGUGGCAGUUCAAGUCUGCUGUCAAAGACCGGGGCUUAACUUCGGAAAGGCAGUGGAAACUGAACAGCUAGAGUAUGGUAGGGGCAGAGGGAAUUCCUGGUGUAGCGGUGAAAUGCGCAGAUAUCAGGAGGAACACCGGUGGCGAAGGCGGCAUCCUGGACCGACACUGACGCUGAGGCGCGAAAGCUAGGGGAGCAAACGGG